rnacentral:rRNA from 1 species
UACGUAGGGUGCAAGCGUUAUCCGGAAUUAUUGGGCGUAAAGAGCGUGUAGGCGGCCUGAAAGGUCAGCUGUGAAAACUCGAGGCUCAACCUCGAGACGUCGGUUGAAACCAUCUGGCUAGAGUCCGGAAGAGGAGUGUGGAAUUCCCGGUGUAGCGGUGAAAUGCGCAGAUAUCAGGAGGAACACCGAUGGCGAAGGCAGGUCUCUGGGCCGAUACUGACGCUGAGGAGCGAAAGCGUGGGGAGCGAACAGG